AUGGCAUCUUUUUGUCGGAUCGACCUCCAAGUUGCGUUAAAUUUCGCUUUGAGUCGGCUUUCAUUUCUAAGGAGGCAAGUCGAUCUUUGGUUUUUGAGAUACGCUGCUGCCUUGUUUUUGUUGGAAGCGUGGAGGGAGCUCAUUAUUCCUUGUGAAGUUGCGAGCAUGAGAUUGACCAUCAGGCCCACGAUCAUUGCGAAGAUCACGAUCCUUAUGGAUGAAACUGGCCUUGUCACCCAGCUGAGUCAGUUGCCUAAAAUCGUUGCCAUCCUUGACGACUGGUUGAUUUCCAACCGUUACAGUUUGAUUAGUCGACAUCUUUCCGGAGGUAGCAACUGUGUCAUCUUUGUGGUCGAUAACCUGGCGUGAGCUGGACAUGCUGUUGACAUCGUUGGGGACAUUCUCCUUUCCCUCAUUGGACUAAAAUAAGAGAAAACAGGAUGACAGAAUUAAAGACAAAUGAAUACAGUUAUUUCACAGUGAUCAGAGGAAUAGGGAAAAAGCCUCUGUGGAUAGAGGAAUGAAUUUCCCCUACAGUGAUGCUUAAAUGAAUCUUCUUUGUCCCAAAAUAUUAAUAGAUCUGGUGAAUCAAGCAAUCAUCGAGCUUAUCAUCAGUCUAUUCAUUUUACUUACUUAAUUAAUAUAUAUGUUUACAUACAUAUUUUUGCAGAUCUUUUGAUGUUUUCUUUGAAAGUAUUUAACAGUAGAAAGACAACCAAAGCCGAAUCACCGCACACAGAUGUAGAGAAAUCUUGGCAUUCUCAUUUUAAAAACUCCUAUAACUGCAGCAAUGUCUGGGAGAUUCAGCUCUAAAUGUAACAAUUACAAGCUCUAAAUGUAACAAUUUCACACAAAAACUCAUGAAUUAAACUGCAGGGGUGGUGUACAUAAAAAACUUGGGAUGGGAGGACCCACCUUACACUGAAGAAGAAAAUACGCCCUCCUUUGAAUGGCAGAUGAAAAAUGUUCUUCAUUUUUGGCAGGAAAGCUCAUGCGUAAAAAUAAGUACCCCGCACUGGAGCACAUGUCAGUUUUGAAAAAAUUGCAUUUCACACCAACUUGUCAGAUAUAAAUACUAAGCUUCUGAAAUACACUUAGUUUCAGAAAAUUGGACGAUUUUAGGGGAGAUCAAAGGCACUACUCAUGAAUGAUGCAAAUAUGGAGGACUCACUCCGGGUGUCUAGCAAUUUUCAAAAAAAAAUUCCCUGACACAUCCUUGACAAAAUGAGCCAAAAACUGGAAAAAAAUUAAAGUUCCCUGACAGACAAAAAAAUUGUUCCCUAACAGAACGGAAAUAUUCCAAAUAUUUCGACACAAUUAAAUUGAUUAGAUGUAAAUUAGGAUUUUUCGUGUUUUGGGAAUAUAAUGUAAUAAAUAAAGCAAAAUAUAUGGUGCCUAAACUUAUUCAAGACAUUUUUGCCUCAUUUUAAAAUUUAAAGGACAUCGGCAGAAAUUCUGGUAGAAGUUUUGGUAUCAAUUAUUCAUCAUCAACUUUUAACAAGAAAACAUUUAUUGAAAAAUCUGUGUUUUCGAUUCCCUUGACACGAAAAUGGCUUGCAAAAUAAAAAGAGUCAAUUAAGCUCGGGAAGGAUUUGCCUGCAAAUAAGCGAAUCUUACAGUUUUUGGUACAAGAAGAACGAUGCGUUGUUAAAUUUCACGAAAAGUUGUAACGCUUCCUUUUCAGGGGUCCUCCAAAACAUGUUUGAGCCGACCACCGUGAAUCUUCGAAUCUACGCGUCAUGGAUGGAAGAUGGCGGCGGCGAAGUCAACCUACUUACUAACACCACGCUGUCAUUGUUGACAUCUCGAUUUCUCGUUUGAGGUUAAGUGAGCUCUGUGCUCUGUUAUUGUAUUGUGAUAACGAGAGUUAAAAUUACAUUGUGCAAGGACAUUAAUGACUGUUUAAUACCCUCACUACAAUGCAUAAAAGAGUGAAAUAUAAGCUUAGUCGAUGUUUUGUGCCCAGCUGUAAAAUUAGAUCAUCAGCUGCUGAGACAACGCAAACGCGAUGCCACCGUGUAUUUUUCUACUACGCAUUCUGCCGCCAUAUUGAUCGUGACAUGUAGAUUCGAAACCUACAAGCGCGUAGUUCAAACGCCGUUUUAGGCUACCCUAAUUUUUGGCACUUUCAAGGUAACUUUUCUCCUGUUUGCAGUCAUCAAAAAAAAUUAGGAGAAAAACUGUAAGCUUCUGUCACUUACUACUUUCGAGUGAUACAAUAAAAAAAAUGACUUAUCUGACUCAUUCCCUGGCAUGCUAAAUUAUAGCGGAUUUCCUGACGUUUUCCUCAAUUUCCCUGACACUAAAAAAUAUUCCCUUACUUUUCCCCGUCACUAGACACUCUGCCACAAAAAGAGGCAAAACAAACUUGACAUCCUAGUAUACUUACACUGAGGCUAGAUUUAUCUGAAAGUUUAGAGCGCCUCCUUUCUUCAUAUGCACGCUCCUCUUCCUCCUUACGUUUAUUAGCUCUUUCAACGAUGCUGUCUAUUUCAUUGUGUUGUCUGCGGCGAUAACCAUCAUCUUCAUUAUUUUCGCGCCCAACCUGAAAAGGAAUAUUACAAUUUAAUUGUUUUGACUACAACGAUUAUAAUUAGGGUUAGCAGCUUCAUCACUUUAUUCAUUCCUUAACUUUCUAUUAACCAAUAGAUAGUUUUCCUUGAACUUCAUAUGCUACACUUGAACAUCCUGAUGGCCGAAAAAAGGGGCUAUUUGGUUUGCGGCUUGAUUAACAAGCGAAUUUUCAACAUGAUGCAAGCAAAUCCUGACUUCAAUGUUUAUCAAAUAUUUGCCACAAAAAAUGUUACAAUAUGCUGCCGUGCAACGCAAGAACGCCGUAACUCCACUGCCGCGCGAACCGAGA
rnacentral:lncRNA from 1 species